rnacentral:lncRNA from 1 species
UUUAUUGUAAAGCUAUGAUUAUUCUAUUAUUUUAGUAGAAUCAACCAUGAUUAUUAUGCUUUACUAAAAGAUUAUUAACAACUUCCAUAUCUAUGACUUUGCCAAGUUGCUGCUGAUGCCAAUGAUCUUCAAAUGACCAAUUUUGUUGGAGAGUUCCUCACAGACCAGGUAGUUUCACACUCUUAAAUCUUCAGAGUGUGGCAUGUAGCAUCUUUGUUGAAAUGACAUCUUGAAAAAUUAGCCUCUUUAUCAAACGAUUUUCUUUUUUAAGUAGAAAAAUGUUGGUGAUUGAAGGUCAAAGAAAAUUAAGGUGUCAGAACAUCUCUCUCAGCUACAAAGAGAUGGGCAGGGCAUGGUAAACUUCUUACUUUUGCUCAAGGAUAUGUAUACUGUUCUACUGUGGCUGAUUGGGCGAUAAGAAUGAAAUUAUUGAAAUUCUUAAAAUUCUUGAGCAAAGCUGGGUUCAAUAGUUUUUGGAGGGGGGUCUAAAACUGCCCAAGCUCUUAUAAUUGUUCUGUUGUUGAUUUUAUUUUUAUUUUUAUUUUUUUCAAUUUUUUUGGCUUAAUUGUUUUUUGAGCGCUUUGCACCUUUUGCCCUGUGAAUACCAAAUGAGCUCAAGCCAUGUACAAUGCUGUGCACGUUGUUGAUUUUUAUUUAUUUAUUUAUUUUUUUGGCUUAAUUGUUUCCAGGCUGUACGACCUGUGGCCUGUGACCCUCAGUAUCUAGGUACAACCAUGCUUUAUGUGCUUGCAGAUUACUUGCAACUUCUUUCGAAAAGCUUCCUAUGUUGUUGAUUAUUCAGUUGUGUGAACAUGCAGGUGGUCUUCUGUUUCAAACACAGAGAGUGGUGGUAUGAAAAUCAACAACAAUCAUGAAACAGUAAGAGUUGUUAUAGUUUUCAAUAGAAAUGUAAGAACUUUAGAUGUUAAUUUUUUUUUAUUAUUGAUUAAUAAAAAUUCAAAAAAAAUAUUUUGAAACCAUUUAUAGAAUCAAUUUAUCAGUGACAUUUUUCCAUUUGCAUUGAAAUAAAAUAUUGAGAUUUAUACAAGUUAAGAAGUUAGUGAAUGAAAUAAUCUUCGAUGAAUGUGAGUUCAAAUCUGAAAGUUAAAAAUUUUGUGGCACUAUUUAUACAAAUAAUAAUCUCAUCUCUAAAUUAUUUAUACUUUGAAAUUUAUGUAAUGUAAUUGCCAUCUUAAAAAUCUUAGGUUAAAAAACAUGUCUACAUUAAAUUAAGUAUUAAUAUACUUUGUAAGAUAAAUAAUUAAUAGAAUAAACAUAAUCAUAAGAAAAUUUAUUUUAUAAUAAUUUUUUAAUUAUUAGAUAUUUACUGAAAGAUAUGGAAGUAAUGAUUGUAAUAAAAAAAAUGUGAAGCUAUUUGGGAUUAAUAAUUUAUUUAAUUUUCAAUUUUAAGUAAUUUUAUAUUCAGCAUAUAAAUUGAUAUUUUAAAUUCUAAGUAAUUAGGUUAUCUUUUUGAUAUUUUAUUUUCCUUUCAUAUUAUUGGUAUUAUUAUGAAUAAUUAUCUCCUUAUUAUAAAAAAUUGCCUUUAAUACUUUCUAUUAAUAGAAAAGAUGAAUAGAAAACUUUUAAAUCCUUUGUUCAUUACAAUUAAAAAGCCCUAUUUUAUUUUGUAUUUAAGAUUCUAAAAAGAAAAGAUGAAAUAGAAUGCACAUUUAAUAAUAUGACAUGAUAAUAUGACAAAAUGUGACAUGAAAAGCGUAUUAAGAUAUGAUGAGCGUUUAGUUCCUACAGUGAUGGGCGAUGAUGAUAGGUGCAUAGUUUGACGAUCGGCAAGGGCAGCAAUGACUUCCACGAAGAGUUGCCGUAAAGACGACAUGUGAGUUGAAGACGAUGAAAGAGAGCGAGAGAGCUAGAGACAAAUCGUGCAGCGGUGGUGGAUGAUGGUCUUCAUGGGUGAAGGUGCCAUGAGCCUGCUGUUGCUGCUAUAAGAUUCGGUGGUUGGUACCAUAGCUGUUAAGCAGCAGGACUCUAACCUUUGCUCGUCGAUAACUUAAGUUUGCAGUAAUCGUCACGUAAACGGGCUCUCCAGUGAAGUCGAUCGCACUGCUGCAACGGAUCAGACAUUUCUAGUUUUUUUGAUUGGAUCUAUGGGUUGUACCGCCUGAGGUCAGAACGCACGUCGUUGUAGGGUAGUACAUGAACUGCAGCGACCCACGUUGUUUGAGUGGCUAGUGGCGAAGCCUGGACCCACACCUGAUGCUAUAUCAAAAUUUGGUUGAAACAAAUUAAAAAUAAAAAUAAAAAGUAAAUUAUUAAAUUAUUAAAAAAAAAUGUCGAACGAGUA